AUGGAGAGCAAGGUGCUGCUGGCCGUCGCCCUGUGGCUCUGCGUGGGGACCCGGGCCGCCUUUGUGGGUUUGCCUAGUGUUUCUCUUGAUCUGCCCAGGCUCAGCAUACAAAAAGACAUACUUACAAUUAAGGCUAAUACAACUCUUCAAAUUACUUGCAGGGGACAGAGGGACUUGGACUGGCUUUGGCCCAAUAAUCAGAGUGGCAGUGAGCAAAGGGUGGAGGUGACUGAGUGCAGCGAUGGCCUCUUCUGUAAGACACUCACAAUUCCAAAAGUGAUCGGAAAUGACACUGGAGCCUACAAGUGCUUCUACCGGGAAACUGACUUGGCCUCGGUCAUUUAUGUCUAUGUUCAAGAUUACAGAUCUCCAUUUAUUGCUUCUGUUAGUGACCAACAUGGAGUCGUGUACAUUACAGAGAACAAAAACAAAACUGUGGUGAUUCCAUGUCUCGGGUCCAUUUCAAAUCUCAACGUGUCACUUUGUGCAAGGUACCCAGAAAAGAGAUUUGUUCCUGAUGGAAACAGAAUUUCCUGGGACAGCAAGAAGGGCUUUACUAUUCCCAGCUACAUGAUCAGCUAUGCUGGCAUGGUCUUCUGUGAAGCAAAAAUUAAUGAUGAAAGUUACCAGUCUAUUAUGUACAUAGUUGUCGUUGUAGGGUAUAGGAUUUAUGAUGUGGUUCUGAGUCCGUCUCACGGAAUUGAACUAUCUGUUGGAGAAAAGCUUGUCUUAAAUUGUACAGCAAGAACUGAACUAAAUGUGGGGAUUGACUUCAACUGGGAAUACCCUUCUUCGAAGCAUCAGCAUAAGAAACUUGUAAACCGAGACCUAAAAACCCAGUCUGGGAGUGAGAUGAAGAAAUUUUUGAGCACCUUAACUAUAGAUGGUGUAACCCGGAGUGACCAAGGAUUGUACACCUGUGCAGCGUCCAGUGGGCUGAUGACCAAGAAGAACAGCACUUUUGUCAGGGUCCAUGAAAAACCUUUUGUUGCUUUUGGAAGUGGCAUGGAAUCUCUGGUGGAAGCCACGGUGGGGGAGCGUGUCAGAAUCCCUGUGAAGUACCUUGGUUACCCACCCCCAGAAAUAAAAUGGUAUAAAAAUGGAAUACCCCUUGAGUCCAAUCACACAAUUAAAGCGGGGCAUGUACUGACGAUUAUGGAAGUGAGUGAAAGAGACACAGGGAAUUACACUGUCAUCCUUACCAAUCCCAUUUCAAAGGAGAAGCAGAGCCACGUGGUCUCUCUGGUUGUGUAUGUCCCACCCCAGAUUGGUGAGAAAUCGCUGAUCUCUCCUGUGGAUUCCUACCAGUAUGGCACCACUCAAACGCUGACGUGUACGGUCUAUGCCAUUCCUCCCCCGCAUCACAUCCACUGGUAUUGGCAGUUGGAGGAAGAGUGCCCCAACGAGCCCAGCCAAGCUGUCUCAGUGACAAACCCAUACCCUUGUGAAGAAUGGAGAAGUGUGGAGGACUUUCAGGGAGGAAAUAAAAUUGAAGUCAAUAAAAAUCAAUUUGCUCUAAUUGAAGGAAAAAACAAAACUGUAAGUACCCUUGUUAUCCAAGUGGCAAAUGUGUCAGCUUUGUACAAAUGUGAAGCGGUCAACAAAGUCGGGAGAGGAGAGAGGGUGAUCUCCUUCCACGUGACCAGGGGUCCUGAAAUUACUUUGCAACCUGACAUGCAGCCCACUGAGCAGGAGAGCGUGUCUUUGUGGUGCGCUGCAGACAGAUCUACAUUUGAGAACCUCACAUGGUACAAGCUUGGCCCACAGCCUCUGCCAAUCCACAUGGGAGAGUUGCCCACACCUGUUUGCAAGAACUUGGAUACUCUUUGGAAAUUGAAUGCCACCAUGUUCUCUAAUAGCACAAAUGACAUUUUGAUCAUGGAGCUUAAGAAUGCAUCCUUGCAGGACCAAGGAGACUAUGUCUGCCUUGCUCAAGACAGGAAGACCAAGAAAAGACAUUGCGUGGUCAGACAGCUCACAGUCCUAGGUAGGGAGACAAUUCUGGAUCAUUGUGCAGAGGCAGUUGGAAUGCCUUAA
rnacentral:sRNA from 1 species